rnacentral:tRNA from 1 species
GCGGACAUGGCGGAAUUGGCAGACGCGCUAGUUUCAGGUAUUAGUGAGAAUUUCUCAUGCAGGUUCAAGUCCUGUUGUCCGCACCA